AGUUAGCCGAUGCUUAUUCCUCAGGUACCGUCAUUUUUUUCUUCCCUGAGAAAAGAGGUUUACAAUCCAAGAACCUUCCUCCCUCACGCGGUAUUGCUCCGUCAGGCUUUCGCCCAUUGCGGAAAAUUCCCCA
rnacentral:rRNA from 1 species